rnacentral:lncRNA from 1 species
AAUGGAUAGGACUAUUCUUAAUUAAAAAGUCUUUCCAUAUGAAACUGUAGAAAUUGAAAAUUCAAGCAAUGAUGCUAUAUUUAAAGUUAAUGGUCAAAGAUUAAAAUAAUUUUUGUAACUGUCCAAAGAAUCUAUUGACGAAGCCAUGGUUCUUUAUGAACCAACUUAUCUCGAUUAAUUUACUUUCAAUAUUUUAUCUGACUGAAGAUAUUAGACUUAGCACUUCUGUCAGACAAUCCAAUUUUUUUAAACUAAUAUUUUUUCUAUUGAAUAAAUAGAGAUACUCAUCUUCAGAUUUCAGAUUUUCAAGCCAA